rnacentral:rRNA from 1 species
ACGCUGGCGGCAUGCCUAACACAUGCAAGUCGAACGAAGGCUUCGGCCUUAGUGGCGCACGGGUGCGUAACGCGUGGGAAUCUGCCCCUUGGUUCGGAAUAACAGUUGGAAACGACUGCUAAUACCGGAUGACGACGUAAGUCCAAAGAUUUAUCGCCGAGGGAUGAGCCCGCGUAGGAUUAGGUAGUUGGUGUGGUAAAGGCGCACCAAGCCGACGAUCCUUAGCUGGUCUGAGAGGAUGAUCAGCCACACUGGGACUGAGACACGGCCCAGACUCCUACGGGAGGCAGCAGUGGGGAAUAUUGGACAAUGGGCGAAAGCCUGAUCCAGCAAUGCCGCGUGAGUGAUGAAGGCCUUAGGGUUGUAAAGCUCUUUUACCCGGGAUGAUAAUGACAGUACCGGGAGAAUAAGCUCCGGCUAACUCCGUGCCAGCAGCCGCGGUAAUACGGAGGGAGCUAGCGUUAUUCGGAAUUACUGGGCGUAAAGCGCACGUAGGCGGCUUUGUAAGUAAGAGGUGAAAGCCCAGAGCUCAACUCUGGAAUUGCCUUUUAGACUGCAUCGCUUGAAUCAUGGAGAGGUCAGUGGAAUUCCGAGUGUAGAGGUGAAAUUCGUAGAUAUUCGGAAGAACACCAGUGGCGAAGGCGGCUGACUGGACAUGUAUUGACGCUGAGGUGCGAAAGCGUGGGGAGCAAAC